ACCAGACGAUGCGGGAUCGAAGAUGAUUAGAUACCAUCGUAGUCCAUACCGUAAACGAUGCCGACUCGCGAUCGUUUCCCGGCUCUCGAAGCGGGAGGCGGCAGCGCAUGAGAAAUCAAAGUCUUUGGGUUCCGGGGGGAGUAUGGUCGCAAGGCUGAAACUUAAAGGAAUUGACGGAAGGGCACCACCAGGAGUGGAGCCUGCGGCUUAAUUUGACUCAACACGGGGAAACUUACCAGGUCCAGACAUAGGAAGGAUUGACAGAUUGAGAGCUCUUUCUUGAUUCUAUGGGUGGUGGUGCAUCGCCGUUCUUAGUUGGUGGAGUGAUUUGUCUGGUUGAUUCCGUUAACGAACGAGACCACAGCCUACUAAAUAGUGCGCGUUGUGGCGACACAGUGAGGAGGCACUUCUUAGAGGGACACUUUGGGUUUACCGGAAGGAAGUUCGUG
rnacentral:rRNA from 1 species